GAUGAACGCUGGCGGCGUGCCUAAUACAUGCAAGUCGAGCGAACGGACGAGAAGCUUGCUUCUCUGAUGUUAGCGGCGGACGGGUGAGUAACACGUGGAUAACCUACCUAUAAUACUGGGAUAACUUCGGGAAACCGGAGCUAAUACCGGAUAAUAUUUUGAACCGCAUGGUUCAAAAGUGAAAGACGGUCUUUCUGUCACUUAUAGAUGGAUCCGCGCUGCAUUAGCUAGUUGGUAAGGUAACGGCUUACCAAGGCAACGAUGCAUAGCCGACCUGAGAGGGUGAUCGGCCACACUGGAACUGAGACACGGUCAAGACUCCUACGGGAGGCAGCAGUAGGGAAUCUUCCGCAAUGGGCGAAAGCAUGACGGAGCAACGCCGCGUGAGUGAUGAAGGUCUUCGGAUCGUAAAACUCUGUUAUUAGGGAAGAACAUAUGUGUAAGUAACUGUGCACAUCUUGACGGUACCUAAUCAGAAAGCCACGGCUAACUACGUG
rnacentral:rRNA from 1 species